rnacentral:rRNA from 1 species
UACGAAGGGGGCUAGCGUUGCUCGGAAUCACUGGGCGUAAAGGGUGCGUAGGCGGCUUUCUAAGUCAGGGGUGAAAUCCUGGAGCUCAACUCCAGAACUGCCUUUGAUACUGGAAAGCUUGAGUUCGGGAGAGGUGAGUGGAAUUCCUAGUGUAGAGGUGAAAUUCGUAGAUAUUAGGAAGAACACCAGUGGCGAAGGCGGCUCACUGGUCCGGUACUGACGCUGAGGUGCCGAAAGCGUGGGGAGCAAACAGG